AUUGAACGCUGGCGGCAGGCCUAACACAUGCAAGUCGAACGAGUGGCGGACGGGUGAGUAAUGUCUGGGAAACUGCCUCAUGGAGGGGGAUAACUACUGGGAAAGGUAGCUAAUACCCCAUACUAUCGGAAGUGCCUAGAUGGGAGUAGCGAGUGGGUGGGGUAACGGCUCACCUAGGCGGCGAUCCCUAACUGGUCUGAUGGGAUGACCGCCCACACUGGAACUGGGACACGGUCCGUACUCCGACGGGAGGCAGAGUUGGGGAAUAUUGCACAAUGGGGACAAUCCGGAUGCGGACAUGCCGCGUGGAUGAAGAAGGCCUUCGGGUUGAAAAGUACUUUCAGCGGGGAGGCGUUACCCGCAGAGGAAGCACCGGCUAACUACGUGCCAGCAGCCGCGGUAAUUC
rnacentral:rRNA from 1 species